AACGAACGCCGGCGGCAUGCUUAACACAUGCAAGUCGAACGAGACCUUCGGGUCUAGUGGCGCACGGGUGCGUAACGCGUGGGAAUCUGCCCUUUGCUACGGAAUAACUCAGAGAAAUUUGUGCUAAUACCGUAUAAUGUCGAAAGACCAAAGAUUUAUCGGCAAAGGAUGAGCCCGCGUAGGAUUAGCUAGUUGGUGAGGUAAAGGCUCACCAAGGCGACGAUCCUUAGCUGAUCUGAGAGGAUGAUCAGCCACACUGGGACUGAGACACGGUCCAGACUCCUACGGGAGGCAGCAGUGGGGAAUAUUGGACAAUGGGCGAAAGCCUGAUCCAGCAAUGCCGCGUGAGUGAUGAAGGCCUUAGGGUUGUAAAGCUCUUUUACCAGGGAUGAUAAUGACAGUACCUGGAGAAUAAGCUCCGGCUAACUCCGUGCCAGCAGCCGCAGUAAUAC
rnacentral:rRNA from 1 species